GUUCGGGGUUGGGAUGAUCAAGGGAUUGGUUUGCAGGCGUUGGGUGGACGGGGGAGACAAUGAAAUUCGAAUUAGAAUGCCACUUAUGAAACUUGUUUGUACUUCCGUUAGAAAGGUCAGUUUCCUCCACACCAUACAAUCUCUUCGUGUCAAAUGGGUUGUCUAAAUUGCAACACAGCCAUUAAAUGAAAUGCAGGAAAGAAUUCCUAUGUAUCUGUGUGAAGUUGGAAGAGUUAGUUUUGAAAGUUAGAAAGUUUUUGUCUAUGUGUUUUUGAUAUGCAAUUUUUUCUCCUAAUGUUCUUUCACCUAAAUGAUGAGCUGAAGAAAAUGGAUGAACAGCUAAAAAAUGACAGAAGCUUUUCUUGUAAGCAAGGUUUUAGUCUCCUUUAAGCUCAGAGGCGUACGUAGCCUGUAAGGUUGGGGUUCAACUGAACCCCAAACUUUGGACACGGAGCCUAAACUUAUGUGUAAAAAAUUAUUAAAAUUGCAAUAAAUAGUAGAUAUGAACCCCUAACUUUAAAAAUAUAAUGGAUUUAAUGCUAAAAAUCUAUAGAUUGAACUCAUAAAGUUUAAAUCCUGGAUCCGUCUCUGUUUAAGCUAAAAGAUUACGUAUCGAAAAAAUUGUAAUUGUAAUUGUAAUGCUAAAGGGUACAAUUGAAAUAAGCAGAGCUCAAAAUUUUGGCACCUAAGUUUUAAGACAAAGGGGAGCUUCUGAUAAAUUAUUUUUGAAUGACAAGUUCAUAAAGUUAAAUCAUUUUGACUACCAUUGCCCAAAAACUAAGAUAAGUGAUUUCAUUUCAAUUGUAUUGCACUACCAAACUAUGCCUAGAUAUGACUAAGAAUCUGAUACAACCAUAUGUCAACGCCUUGUAUUCAAAUGUUUGAAUUGAGCAAAUAAUUUGUCCUGAAAAUACAAACCAGCUUCACUAAUACACUGGGGUGUUCUUUAUUGAUCUUAUGGAUAGUGAAGAACAGCAGUAUUCCUUUAAUUAGCAGAUGUGCAGAGGCCCUUUCAAUAGUUUUGAUCAUGUCUGCAGUUCAUAAAGAUGUUUAUUUGGAGCAUUUGGAUGUAUGUUUGCGUAAACUAUGACAAUUCAUUUCUGAUUUUUAGCUAAGGCACAGGGAUAAAUUUGUUUCAUCUGUUCUUCAGAUAGCUGCAGUUUUUAACUUGAUUUUGACGCUUCUUGAUGGAUUCUGAAUAUGAGCUUCUGUUCUACGGUGUUUGAAAUCAUUAUACCAUCACCAAUGCCUAACAGAACUGUCGGCCUUUGUCAGCUCCUCUGUUGUUUGCCGGACUUAAUGUUGUUUGGUCUCAACGAUAACUCCUGUUUGCGAUUUUGUAUGCUUCCGUCCUUAUUGGGAAAGAAGAGUAAGAUACAUAUUUUCCAUGUAUGAUGUAUCCUUAUGAUGCUGCAAAUUAUUCCUCCGUUCAGAAUUCAAUGUCUUACUCUACAACUUUAUGUUCAUCCUUGUUUAUACAUCAUCUGGCCAUGUUAUUGUGUAGAUGAGAAUGAGGAAUCCAUUAAAUAUAAUAUUAGUAUCAUGUGGUUCACAGAACGCUCAUAUGUUGGAAUCACAUGAAACUCUUAAUGAUUAUGCCUCUUUAAAUGAAACCUUAAUUACGAUUAUCAUCAACAGGUGCCAUCUUGCUGCUGCUUUGUUUAGCUUGUUUUAUAUGUUGUUGAUUACUCAGAGAACUUAGUGGUGUGUUUUCACCAACACCAUUCAGUAAGUUAAGCAGAGAGGUGUCUGCAAUACCAUUGAAUCCUCAUUGUUCAUCUGCUUGCUAAUUUUGCUGUCAAACACUCUGGAUUUGGAUGCAAUAAGAAUAGAAAGAUCUGCCGAAGGUCGCGUUGCUGGCUGCGGUACUAUGUAUCUACAGGCCCUUAGCAUUUGAUGCAGAAUAUAGUCGUUGGCUAGAAGAACACAACAAACACAUCACUGAGUGAAGGACAGCUGUCAAUUCACAUGCAAGUGACCCUGAACUGCGAAGUAUUGUGAAUAAUGUCACUGCACAAUUUGAUGAGGUUUUCAGGGUGAAAGGAAAUGCAGCCAAGGCGGACGUAUUCCAUGUCUUGUCAGGGAUGUGGAAAACCCUCGCCGAGCGGUGUUAUGUAGAUUGGUGGCUUCCGCCCAUUGGAACUUCUUAAGAUACGGGUUUUCAGGAGCAUACACCUGCGCAGUAGGAUCACCUCAGUUAUCAGCUUAUUGGUGAGCCCCAUUCCUCUCAGGGUUCAACAUGGAGUCUGCAUUAGUAUUCAGUUUAUGGUAGUCCAGGGCCAUGUCCUGGUAGUUAGUAUUCAAACAUAUUUUAGAGGUUUCAAAGACAGAUGUUAGUCCACAGAGUCAGUUAUGCUUUCAUGUUUGCAGACUGUUAUGUUUUCAUGAUUUUUCACGCUAUGAGAUAAUUUCAAGACUUUAUUCCGCAAA